rnacentral:rRNA from 1 species
GAAGCUUCGGCAGAUUUAGCUGGUUUCUAGUGGCGGACGGGUGAGUAACGCGUGGGCAACCUGCCUUAUACAGGGGGAUAACAGUCAAAAAUGGCUGCUAAUACCGCAUAAGCGCACAGAGCUGCAUGGCUCAGUGUGAAAAACUCCGGUGGAAUAAGAUGGACCCGCGUUGGAUUAGCUGGUUGGUGGGGUAACGGCCCACCAAGGCGACGAUCCAUAGCCGGCCUGAGAGGGUGAACGGCCACAUUGGGACUGAGACACGGCCCAGACUCCUACGGGAGGCAGCAGUGGGGAAUAUUGCACAAUGGGGGAAACCCUGAUGCAGCGACGCCGCGUGAAGGAAGAAGUAUCUCGGUAUGUAAACUUCUAUCAGCAGGGAAGAUAAUGACGGUACCUGACUAAGAGGCCCCGGCUAACUACGUGCCAGCAGCCGCGGUAAUACGUAGGGGGCAAGCGUUAUCCGGAUUUACUGGGUGUAAAGGGAGCGUAGACGGUGUGGCAAGUCUGAUGUGAAAGGCAUGGGCUCAACCCGUGGACUGCAUUGGAAACUGUCAUACUUGAGUGCCGGAGGGGUAAGCGGAAUUCCUAGUGUAGCGGUGAAAUGCGUAGAUAUUAGGAGGAACACCAG